UGGGGAAUAUUGCGCAAUGGGGGAAACCCUGACGCAGCAACGCCGCGUGAAGGAUGAAGGCUUUCGGGUUGUAAACUUCUUUGAUGAGGGACGAAAGAAAUGACGGUACCUCAAAAACAAGCCACGGCUAACUACGUGCCAGCAGCCGCGGUAAUACGUAGGUGGCGAGCGUUGUCCGGAAUUACUGGGUGUAAAGGGCGUGUAGGCGGGGAUGCAAGUCAGAUGUGAAAUGCCGGGGCUUAACUCCGGAGCUGCAUCUGAAACUGUGUUUCUUGAGUGUCGGAGAGGAAAGCGGAACUCCCAGUGUAGCGGUGAAAUGCGUAGAUAUUGGGAGGAACACCAGUGGCGAAGGCGGCUUUCUGGACGAUAACUGACGCUGAGGCGCGAAAGCGUGGGGAGCAAACA
rnacentral:rRNA from 1 species